rnacentral:rRNA from 1 species
UACGUAGGGUCCGAGCGUUGUCCGGAAUUACUGGGCGUAAAGAGCUCGUAGGUGGUUUGUCGCGUUGUUCGUGAAAACUCACAGCUCAACUGUGGGCGUGCGGGCGAUACGGGCAGACUAGAGUACUGCAGGGGAGACUGGAAUUCCUGGUGUAGCGGUGGAAUGCGCAGAUAUCAGGAGGAACACCGGUGGCGAAGGCGGGUCUCUGGGCAGUAACUGACGCUGGAGGAGCGAAAAGCGUGGGGAGCGAACAGG